rnacentral:rRNA from 1 species
AUUGAACGCUGGCGGCAUGCCUUACACAUGCAAGUCGAACGGUAACGGGCCUUCGGGUGCCGACGAGUGGCGAACGGGUGAGUAAUACAUCGGAACGUGCCCGAUCGUGGGGGAUAACGAGGCGAAAGCUUUGCUAAUACCGCAUACGAUCUACGGAUGAAAGCAGGGGACCGCAAGGCCUUGCGCGGACGGAGCGGCCGAUGGCAGAUUAGGUAGUUGGUGGGAUAAAAGCUUACCAAGCCGACGAUCUGUAGCUGGUCUGAGAGGAUGAUCAGCCACACUGGGACUGAGACACGGCCCAGACUCCUACGGGAGGCAGCAGUGGGGAAUUUUGGACAAUGGGCGCAAGCCUGAUCCAGCCAUGCCGCGUGCAGGACGAAGGCCUUCGGGUCGUAAACUGCUUUUGUACGGAACGAAAAGCCUUCUUUUAAUACAGGAGGGUCAUGACGGUACCGUAAGAAUAAGCACCGGCUAACUACGUG